GACGAACGCUGGCGGCGUGCCUAAUACAUGCAAGUCGAGCGGACAGAAGGGAGCUUGCUCCCGGAUGUUAGCGGCGGACGGGUGAGUAACACGUGGGUAACCUGCCUGUAAGACUGGGAUAACUCCGGGAAACCGGAGCUAAUACCGGAUAGUUCCUUGAACCGCAUGGUUCAAGGAUGAAAGACGGUUUCGGCUGUCACUUACAGAUGGACCCGCGGCGCAUUAGCUAGUUGGUGGGGUAAUGGCUCACCAAGGCGACGAUGCGUAGCCGACCUAAGAGGGUGAUCGGCCACACUGGGACUGAGACACGGCCCAGACUCCUACGGGAGGCAGCAGUAGGGAAUCUUCCGCAAUGGACGAAAGUCCGACGAAGCAACGCCGCGUGAGUGAUGAAGGUUUUCGGAUCGUAAAGCUCUGUUGUUAGGGAAGAACAAGUGCGAGAGUAACUGCUCGCACCUUGACGGUACCUAACCAGAAAGCCACGGCUAACUACGUGCCAGCCGCCGCCGUAAUAC
rnacentral:rRNA from 1 species